GUGCUUGCUUCGGCAGCACAUAUACUAAAAUUGGAACGAUACAAAGAAAAUUAGCAUGACCCUGUGCAAGGAUGACAUGCAAAUUUGUGAAGUGUUCAAUAUUUUU
rnacentral:snRNA from 1 species